rnacentral:rRNA from 1 species
UGGGAAUAUUGCACAAUGGGCGAAAGCCUGAUGCAGCAACGCCGCGUGAGUGAUGAAGGCCUUCGGGUUGUAAAGCUCUGUCUUUUGGGACGAUAAUGACGGUACCAAAGGAGGAAGCCACGGCUAACUACGUGCCAGCAGCCGCGGUAAUACGUAGGUGGCAAGCGUUGUCCGGAUUUACUGGGCGUAAAGGAUGCGUAGGCGGAUUUUUAAGUGAGAUGUGAAAACCCUAAGCUUAACUUGGGGACUGCAUUUCAUACUGGAAAUCUAGAGUGCGGGAGAGGAGAAUGGAAUUCCUAGUGUAGCGGUGAAAUGCGUAGAGAUUAGGAAGAACACCAGUGGCGAAGGCGAUUCUCUGGACCGUAACUGACGCUGAGGCAUGAAAGCGUGGGUAGCAAACAGGAUUAGAUACCCUGGUAGUCCACGCCGUAAACGAUGAGUACUAGGUGUAGGAGGUAUCGACCCCUUCUGUGCCGCAGUUAACACAAUAAGUACUCCGCCUGGGAAGUACGAUCGCAAGAUU